UGGGGAAUCUUGGACAAUGGGGGCAACCCUGAUCCAGCCAUGCCGCGUGAGUGAUGAAGGCCUUAGGGUCGUAAAGCUCUUUCGCCUGUGAAGAUAAUGACGGUAGCAGGUAAAGAAACCCCGGCUAACUCCGUGCCAGCAGCCGCGGUAAUACGGAGGGGGUUAGCGUUGUUCGGAAUUACUGGGCGUAAAGCGCACGUAGGCGGACCAGAAAGUUGGGGGUGAAAUCCCGGGGGCUCAACCCCGGAAACUGCCUCCAAAACUAUUGGUCUAGAGUUCGAGAGAGGUGAGUGGAAUUCCAAGUGUAGAGGUGAAAUUCGUAGAUAUUUGGAGGAACACCAGUGGCGAAGGCGGCUCACUGGCUCGAUACUGACGCUGAGGUGCGAAAGUGUGGGGAGCAAAACAGGAUUAGAUACCCUGGUAGUCCACACCGUAAAACGAUGAAUGCCAGUCGUCGGGUAGCAUGCUAUUCGGUGACACACCUAACGGAUUAAGCAUUCCGCCUGGGGAGUACGGUCGCAAGAUU
rnacentral:rRNA from 1 species